rnacentral:tRNA from 1 species
CAUUAAGUGGCUGAAAUUUAAGCAUUGGUCUCUUAAACCAAAAUAUAGUAAUUUACAACUACUCUUAAUGG